CCUUUAUACAUUCAUUUAUGCGUGACAUCUACUUGCUUUAAUGGGCGCAAACACUGAACAUUCACGUCUGGAGCAGAAGGAGUUACCAUGGAAAUGGGGCGGAAACUCAACUGUCCAGCAGCAAAACACGUCUCCCACUGUUGUUUUCACAAAUUUCAGAAAUGGUUUAUUGUCUUCAGAAAAAGUCCAUUAGCGUCUGAACCAUAAUGCUAACUAUAAGAGGUUUUGCAGGCAAUUUGUCAUUGGAUGAAAGGAAAAUCUUCCAUGCUAAUGGCCGUGCACCAGAGUUGGAGCGUAUCUCCUGUCGAAAAACAUCUCUAGACAUUAUGAACCAUAUGACUAAGACUGAAAAUCAUCAGUAAAAUACAAGUGGAUUGAUAGCUCCAACACCAAUUAAGCAGACCUGAACAGCUGAUCAAGGAUCACCAGAAACUCUGCAGAACGUUGGUCCUCAAUGCCCAGGACUGGAAACCAGAGUUGUAAGUCAUCAAUCUAGCAGUCAUCCUGCCUCUCUGAAUUGUCAUGUUUAGAACAUAUUUCAGGAGAUCUCAACAUUGUCUCUCGAGGUCCACUUACAUGCAGCGUUUUGCUCCAACCUCGUCCAGUGCGUCUGAACAAACUAAUCAAGGUCUUCAGUUUAACUAUAAAUUUACCUAAACUAUGGGUGUGUAUCUCUCAGGUCCCUUGAUCAUUAGUCAGUGGUUAAAGGAGAACUACAC